UACAGAGGUCCCAAGCGUUGUUCGGAUUCAUUGGGCGUAAAGGGUGCGUAGGCGGCGCGGUAAGUUGGGUGUGAAAUCUCGGAGCUUAACUCCGAAACUGCAUUCGAUACUGCCGUGCUUGAGGACUGGAGAGGAGACUGGAAUUUACGGUGUAGCGGUGAAAUGCGUAGAUAUCGUAAGGAAGACCAGUGGCGAAGGCGGGUCUCUGGACAGUUCCUGACGCUGAGGCACGAAGGCCAGGGGAGCAAACGGG
rnacentral:rRNA from 1 species